rnacentral:rRNA from 1 species
GACGAACGCUGGCGGCGUGCUUAACACAUGCAAGUCGAACGGAAAGGCCCUGCUUUUGUGGGGUGCUCGAGUGGCGAACGGGUGAGUAACACGUGAGUAACCUGCCCUUGACUUUGGGAUAACUUCAGGAAACUGGGGCUAAUACCGCAUAGGAGCUCCUGCUGCAUGGUGGGGGUUGGAAAGUUUCGGCGGUUGGGGAUGGACUCGCGGCUUAUCAGCUUGUUGGUGGGGUAGUGGCUUACCAAGGCUUUGACGGGUAGCCGGCCUGAGAGGGUGACCGGCCACAUUGGGACUGAGAUACGGCCCAGACUGCUACGGGAGGCAGCAGUGGGGAAUAUUGCACAAUGGGCGGACGCCUGAUGCAGCAACGCCGCGUGCGGGAUGACGGCCUUCGGGUUGUAAACCGCUUUCGCCUGUGACGAAGCGUGAGUGACGGUAAUGGGUAAAGAAGCACCGGCUAACUACGUG